rnacentral:lncRNA from 1 species
UUUUUUUUUCUUUGCAAUAUUUUUUAGAUCUGCUUCCAAAGUAUUUUAUAGUUUAAAAAGCACUUUGCACACAAUUCUUGUAUAUAAAUUAAUGAUGUAAUUAUAGGGUAUAGUGUUUUCAGGUCCACCACAAAACUGAAUAAAAAGUUCAUUGUUCCCAUACCAUUCUCCCAACACCCACAUACAACCUUUCCAACCAUCACCAUCCCCAGGUAGAGUGGUAUAUUUGUUACAAUUGAUGAAUUAACAUGGACAAAUGAUUACAUUAGGGUUCAUUCUUGGUGUACAUUCAGUAGGUUUUUACAAAUUUUAAAUUAUGUGAACCCACCUUCUAAUAGAAUACAGUCAUUUCACUACCCUAAACAUCAUCUGUGCAAGGCCUAUUCCUACCUCUCUGCUAACCCUGGGUAAACAUUGAUCUUUUUACUGUCUCAUAAGUCUUGCAUAUUUUAGAUGUCAUGUAUUUGGAAUCACCAUAUGUAGACUUUUCAGGCUGGCUUCGUUUUACUCAGUAAUAUGUACUUAUGUUUGUUUUGUUUAUUCAUGGCUUAAUAGCUCAUGUCUUUGUAUCACUGAAUAAUAUUCCAUUAUUAUGUGCCACAAUUUAUCCAUUCACCUACUGUAGGCAUCUUGAUUGUUUCCAACUUAUGAAUAAAGCUGUUAGAAAUGUAACAGUUUGUGGGGCCUCGGGUAUGGCUGAGUGGUAGAGCACCUGCCUAGGCCAUAUGAGGCACUGGGUUCCAUCCUCAGCACCACAUAUAAAUAAAUAAACAAAAUAAAGGUAUUGUAUCCAUCAACGACUAAAAAUAUAUUUUAAAAAUGUGCAGCUUUUUGUGUGAGCAUAUAUUUUUUUUUAAAUUCAAUGCUAUGUAUCUUUUUUUUAAGAGAGAGAAUUUUUUAAUAUUUAUUUAUUUUUUUUAGUUUUCGGCGGACACAACAUUUUUGUUUGUAUGUGGUGCUGAGGAUCGAACCCGGGCCGCACACAUGCCAGGCAAGCACGCUACCGCUUGAGCCACAAUCCCAGCCCGU